GGGGCAUGGGCGCAGCCUGAUCCAGCAUGCCGCGUGAGUGAAGAAGGCCUUCGGGUUGUAAAGCUCUUUCAGUCGAAAAGAAAAGGCUGCAGUGAAUACCUGUAGUUAAUGACGGUAUCGACAGAAGAAGCACCGGCUAACUACGUGCCAGCAGCCGCGGUAAUAGG
rnacentral:rRNA from 1 species